CGGUCAUAGCUUGUGGUUUCUCAGUGUACGAGGAAUUGUGGGUCUUCCAAUUCAAGAGAUCGGUAGUCGUGAACGGGACAUAUACGAAGACUGGGUCAGCAUGUGCCAUUUGACCUGCGGCAUCGAUAUAUGCUGACCCAGGAUUCAGACGAAGAGGCAUCUGAUAAUGUUUUAAUUGUUGGGUACCGGUCAGUUGUCGGGUUAGUAUGGGGCUACGUGG